CGUUCCCGGGCCUUGUACACACCGCCCGCCAAGUCACGAAAGUUGGUAACACCCGAAGCCGGUGGCCUAACCCCUUGUGGGAGGGAGCUGUCGAAGGUGGGACUGGCGAUUGGGACU
rnacentral:rRNA from 1 species